GAAACAGUAAUGGAUGCAUGCGUUUCUAUAUAUGCUACCUAUAGAACCACCAGAUUGGGAUAUUAAUUUUGUUGCUUGAUCAAGUGAUGGUCUUACAUACACCGCCUAACCGCAAAACGUACAAUUCCUGUUGCCAUAAUCUGUUCUGUUUCUGCAUGUUCAGUUUCUUUCACGCUGCAGCCAGCUGCUGUUAUUUCUCAGCUCUCGAUCGGCUUGUAAGUUGUUAAAUAACUGAUCGAUGUCCUUUUUAUCCAUUAGAAUGAAGCAUGCAUGGAACAGGUGGUUAAAUAACUGAUUGAUGUCCUUUGUAUCCAUUAUUAAGCGUGUAACAGCACAUUGGUUAUUAGUUACCCACUGUUCCAUCACCAAGGCAUGCGUUUCUGUUUUGUGCUUGGAUCUUUUAUUAAUUUCUUUCAGAGAGCAUACGAAUGAGUAAGGAUGAUUGAUCUAAUAUUCCCAAUGAACUUGCAUAUAACUAGUAGUACUGAACAAACAGAAUUUUUCAUUGUCUUGUCUCGCAGACAAUCAGAAAGCUCUUUUGAUUCCAUCACCACAUAUUUGUUGGGAAAUUUAAGGUCGUUACAAGUGAAUCUGUUGUGCUCAUUGGAGCUUUACUUUUGUUUGCUUGGUGCCGGACGUUGGGAACUGACUGCAGGUUCAUAAAUUUGAAGGUCAGGACGAAGGACCCUUUCUUCUAUAUACUUUAAGAUUACUGGUUUUGUUUGCAACAGUGAACUAGUUAGCGGCAUUAAAUUCCAUGGAAUUGUUCUCAUCCAGAAAAGGGUUUAGGAGUGGAGACUGACCCCUAUAUUGUCAGGAACUCUUUCUGGGGACAUUCAGUUUGUACAAGAAUUGUAGGCACCUGUAUUACAAGAACUUCUUGAUUUUAAGCCAUUCAGGAGCAAAGUAGUAUGGGUUGAUGAACUCAGGAGCAAAGUAGUAUGGGUUGAUGAACUAGUAUAGUAAAAGAAGAUGAUGUAAUUGAAAAGUUCUUUAAGAAAAAAGAGAAAUGGCCUUAUAAAAUUCUCAGAAAAGGAAAAUCUUAUGACCCUCGAAUAUGAAGUACCAAUCUUAAUUAAUAUAGUUGCUGGUUAAUGGCAUCUGGACCUUGCAUAGCACAGUCAACAGGUUUAAGGAUCUCAAUUCUCAUUUUUAAAAGUUCAAUGGAUCUGGAGUAUACAACUGAACAAGUUUAAAAACUGCUAGCUCCUUUUCACGAUAUCUGUGCACUCUAAUAGAAAAAAGGAUUGUUCAUUAUGUUCUAUGCCUACAGAUCUCUGAACAACAAGUUCGAAGGCUCCAUCCCACCAUCACUAGGCGGAAUCCCAGACUUAUACUUGUUUGAUUUGGCUAACAAUUUGCUGACCGGAGACCUUCCAGUAUUCAAUGGAACAGAUCCUGGCUUGGAUAACUGACAGAUGCAAUGCACUUCCACUUGUCAGGGAUUGAUCUGUCAGCCUCCAUAGUGAUCCAGAUUUUCAAGUCAGAAAUGCAACUCAUACAUCUGUAAGGCUGAUGACCUUGAAUUCUUGAAGUCAUCUCUUUCUCGAUUCUUUCUGUGAAGAUGAGAUAUAGUGGUUUUAUUUAUUUUGUGUGAUCAGUCUGCUUGACAACAACAAAUUCUCCGGUAGUAUUCCUCCUACGCUGGGCCUUCUUGACAAACUAGAAGUUCUUAAUAGAUAGAAAGAACGGUCCGAAAUACAAUGCCAAGUCCACGGCAUGGGUUAGUUUUUUGUUACAUUCGCACCUAAGUAUGAAGUAAAUAACCACACACACUUCGGCCUAACAGCAAUGCCAGCAGCUCCCUCAGCGCAUUUGCCCCAGCCAUCUUCCACAAGGUGGCCUGCUCGUUUAUCUCCUGCAGCACAAGGUGGGUGUCCGGGUGGCAGCUGUCGAAAACACAGCGGUUGUGCAGCUUCCAGAUCGACCAAGCCACGAGGAUCACCAGGGAAUUCAGACCUUUUCUAGCAUCCUUAGGCGUUCUGCUUCUUGAUAACAAUUAUCAGUUGAGUGGGCCGAUUCCUUCCAGUAUCAACAACCUUACCAAUCUUGGAGAACUGCGAGUCUCUUAUUUUGUGGCACAGUGCUAAGCAUUUUUGCCAGUACCAGUUCCGGAAUACUACUGUUCUGUACUUUCUCUCGUCUGACAUUAGGCAGCUACAAAACAACAAUUUUACUGGUCCACUACUACCAGAUCUAACAGGACUGAGUUCACUCAGAUUUGUGUAAGUGAUGAGUGCACCUUUCCAUUCUGAAAUUAAGAAACAAGUUCUUCUGAAUCUAUUGCAACAUUGUCACAGGGCAUGAGCGACAACAGUUUCGACCGCAGUACUAGUCUGCCGUCUUUGACUUCAUUUGCAACCCUCUCUUCCUUUUGUGCCUCUUCACCAAGAACAUUUGUCUGAAAUUCUUUUUAUGACUGCAGAUACCUUGAACAUCUGCACAUUCCUGGGCACCUCCCUCAAUCUCUCUGAAAUUCAGACAUUCAGAAUGGAAAAGGAUUUUGUUCAACUUGGGAUAGACUUGACGGAGGUAAAUUCUUAGAUGGUUGAGCAUGGACUGAUAUUUUAGGCUUCGAUACUUCAGAUUAGAGGAACCAGCAAAGAGUGUUUUUGGACGAUCAGCCUUGAAAUAGUACUCUUUCGCCAACAUUUUCAA